UACGUAGGGGGCAAGCGUUGUCCGGAUUUAUUGGGCGUAAAGAGCGUGUAGGCGGCCAGGUAGGUCCGUUGUGAAAACUCGAGGCUCAACCUCGAGACGCCGAUGGAAACCAUCUGGCUAGAGUCCGGAAGAGGAGAGUGGAAUUCCUGGUGUAGCGGUGAAAUGCGCAGAUAUCAGGAAGAACACCCGUGGCUAAGGCGGCUCUCUAGUACGGUACUGACGCUGAGACGCGAAAGCG
rnacentral:rRNA from 1 species